GAUGAAGAACGCAGUGAAAUGCGAUAAGUAAUGUGAAUUACAGAAUUCAGUGAAUCAUCGAAUCUUUGAACGCACAUUGCGCCCCUUGGUAUUCCGAGGGGCAUGCCUGUUCGAGCGUCAUUAUAACCCUCAAGCUCAGCUUGGUGUUGGGGCCUGCUGCACUGGCAGCCCUUAAAAUCAGUGGCGGCGCCAUCUGGCUCUAAGCGUAGUAAUUCUUCUCGCUAUGGAGUCCUGGUGGAUGCUUGCCAUCAACCCCCAAUUUUUCUAUGGUUGACCUCGGAUCAGGUAGGGAUACCCGCUGAACUUAAGCAUAUCAAUAAGCGGAGGA
rnacentral:misc_RNA from 1 species